rnacentral:snRNA from 1 species
GUGGUGAGCACAAAGCGAACUAUUCUUUCGCCUUUUACUAAAGAAUACCGUGUGCGCGCCACAAAUA